AACCUGAACGAACACGCGCCAGUGAUCGAGGGUAUGCUGCACAUGCGGCUGCAGCGGCUUCCCGCGCUCACAGGGCACGUGCAUCAUACCGAUGGCAGCAUACGUGAUCCGAUGGACGUGGAGACAG
rnacentral:SRP_RNA from 1 species